rnacentral:rRNA from 1 species
AAAUUGAAGAGUUUGAUCAUGGCUCAGAUUGAACGCUGGCGGCAGGCCUAACACAUGCAAGUCGAACGGUAACAGGAAACAGCUUGCUGUUUCGCUGACGAGUGGCGGACGGGUGAGUAAUGUCUGGGAAACUGCCCGAUGGAGGGGGAUAACUACUGGAAACGGUAGCUAAUACCGCAUAACGUCGCAAGACCAAAGAGGGGGACCUUCGGGCCUCUUGCUAUCGGAUGUGCCCAGAUGGGAUUAGCUAGUAGGUGGGGUAACGGCUCACCUAGGCGACGAUCCCUAGCUGGUCUGAGAGGAUGACCAGCCACACUGGAACUGAGACACGGUCCAGACUCCUACGGGAGGCAGCAGUGGGGAAUAUUGCACAAUGGGCGCAAGCCUGAUGCAGCCAUGCCGCGUGUAUGAAGAAGGCCUUCGGGUUGUAAAGUACUUUCAGCGGGGAGGAAGGGAGUAAAGUUAAUACCUUUACUCAUUGACGUUACCCGCAGAAGAAGCACCGGCUAACUCCGUGCCAGCAGCCGCGGUAAUACGGAGGGUGCAAGCGUUAAUCGGAAUUACUGGGCGUAAAGCGCACGCAGGCGGUUUGUUAAGUCAGAUGUGAAAUCCCCGGGCUCAACCUGGGAACUGCAUCUGAUACUGGCAAGCUUGAGUCUCGUAGAGGGGGGUAGAA